rnacentral:rRNA from 1 species
AGAGUUUGAUCCUGGCUCAGAAUGAACGCUGGCGGCGUGCUUAACACAUGCAAGUCGAACGGUAACAGGAACUAGCUUGCUAGUUUGCUGACGAGUGGCGCACGGGUGAGUAAUAUAUAGAUAAUGUGCCUCUUAGUCUGGGAUAGCCAUUGGAAACGAUGAUUAAUACUAGAUACUCCUUCUUACUCUAAUGUAAGUCGGGAAAGUUUUUCGCUAAGAGAUCAGUCUAUAUCCCAUCAGUUAGUUGGUAGGGUAAUGGCCUACCAAGGCAAUGACGGGUAGCGGGUUUGAGAGGAGGAUCCGCCACACUGGUACUGAGACACGGACCAGACUCCUACGGGAGGCAGCAGUGAGGAAUAUUGCACAAUGGGGGAAACCCUGAUGCAGCAACGCCGCGUGGAGGAUGACGCAUUUCGGUGUGUAAACUCCUUUUAUAUGUCAAGAAAAGGACG